UUGAAGGGUUUGAUCCUGGCUCAGAAUGAACGUUGUCGGCGUGGAUUAGGCAUGCAAGUCGAGCGACAAGCUCAGACGGAUCCCUUCGGGGUGAAGACUGAGUGGAGGAGCGGCAAACGGGGUAGUUAGGCGCAGGUACGUACCCUCAGGUCGGGGAUAGCCAUGGGAAACUGUGGGUAAUACCCGAUAAUCCGGUAACGGCAAAGGUGUGAUUCCGCCGGAGGAGCGGUCUGCGUGGUAUUAGCUUGUUGGUGAGGUAAUGGCUCACCAAGGCGAAGAUGCCUAGGGGGUGUGAGAGCAUGGCCCCCACCACUGGGACUGAGACACUGCCCAGACAUCUACGGAUGGCUGCAGUCGAGAAUCUUUGGCAAUGCACGCAAGUGUGACCAAGCGACGCCGAGUGCUGGAUGAAGGCCUUCGGGUUGUAAACAGCUGUCAGAGGGGAUGAAAUUGUUGGGGGCUAUCCCCCUUCAUUGACAAAGCCUCAGAGGAAGCGCGGGCUAAGUUCGUGCCAGCAGCCGCGGUAAUACGAAGGGGGCUAGCGUUGUUCGGAAUUACUGGGCGUAAAGCGCACGUAGGCGGACUUUUAAGUCAGAUGUGAAAUCCCGAGGCUCAACCUCGGAACUGCAUUUGAAACUGGGAGUCUAGAGAUCAGGAGAGGUUAGCGGAAUACCGAGUGUAGAGGUGAAAUUCGUAGAUAUUGGGAAGAACACCAGUGGCGAAGGCGGCUCACUGGUCCGUAACUGACGCUGAGGUGCGAAAGCGUGGGGAGCAAACAGGAUUAGAUACCCUGGUAGUCCACGCCGUAAACGAUGGAUACUAGCUGUCCGGCCUUCGGGCUGGGUGGCCAAGCGAAAGUGAUAAGUAUCCCACCUGGGGAGUACGUUCGCAAGAAUGAAACUCAAAGGAAUUGACGGGGGCCCGCACAAGCGGUGGAGCAUGUGGUUUAAUUCGAUGAUACGCGAGGAACCUUACCAGGGCUUAAAUGCAUUCGGACAGGUGUGGAAACACGCUUUUCUUCGGACCGUUUGCAAGGUGCUGCAUGGUUGUCGUCAGCUCGUGCCGUGAGGUGUCAGGUUAAGUCCUAUAACGAGCGCAACCCCUGUCGUUAGUUGCCAGCAUGUAAAGAUGGGAACUCUAACGAGACUGCCGGUGCAAACCGCGAGGAAGGUGGGGAUGACGUCAAAUCAUCACGGCCCUUACGUCCUGGGCUACACACGUGCUACAAUGGCCGGUACAGAGGGCAGCCACACCGUAAGGUGGAGCGAAUCCUUAAAACCGGUCUCAGUUCGGAUCGGGGUCUGCAACUCGACCCCGUGAAGCUGGAAUCGCUAGUAAUCGGAUAUCAGCCAUGAUCCGGUGAAUACGUUCCCGGGCCUUGUACACACCGCCCGUCACACCAUGGGAGUUGGCUUUACCCGAAGGCGGUGCGCUAAAAAA
rnacentral:rRNA from 1 species